UAUCCAUUGGAGGGCAAGUCUGGUGCCAGCAGCUGCGGUAAUACCAGCUCCAAUAGCGUAUAUUAAAGUUGUUGCAGUUAAAAAGCUCGUACUUGGACUUGUGUGCGCUGUCCGCGGGUGGCCUGCGCCCAAAAGGGCGUUUCGGUUCGGCCCCGGUGGCGCCUUGAAAUCUGCAGCUGGGGGGACGUUGGCCUUAACUGGUCGGCGGCCGCACGCCGGCUGCUCGGUUACUGUGAGAAAAUUAGAGUGUUCAAGGCAGGCAUUGGGUGCAAUUGAAUACAUUAGCAUGGAAUAAUAAAAUAUGGCUCCUGCCGUAUUUUGUUGGUUUUGACUGGUGGGAGUAAUGAUUGAUAGGGACGGUUGGGGGUGCUAGUAUUGAGCGGCCAGAGGUGAAAUUCAUGGAUUCGCUCAAGACUAACUUAUGCGAAAGCAUUCACCAAGGACGUCCUCUUUAAUCAAGAACGAAAGUUGGGGGAUCGAAGACGAUCAGAUACCGUCGUAGUCUCAACCAUAAACUAUGUCGACUUGGGAUCGGCGGUAGUUUUUUCAUUAAGACACUGUCGGGACCACGGGAGAAAUCAAAGUGUCUGGACUCUGGGGGAAGUAUGGUCGCAAGGCUGAAACUUGAAGGAAUUGACGGAAGGGCACCACCAGGAGUGGAGCCUGCGGCUUAAUUUGACCCAACACGGGGAAACUUACCAGGUCCAGAGAUGUAGAGGAUUGACAGAUUGAAGCUCUUUCUUGAUCACUUCGGUGGUGGUGCAUAGCCGUUCUUAGUUGGUGGAGUGAUUUGUCUGGCUAAUUCCGAUAACGAACGAGACCUCAGCCUGCUAGUGUAGUCGGCUGGAUUGCCUUUGGCGAUCCGUGAUUUCGACUUCUUAGAGGGACAAUCGACGCGCAGUCGAUGGAAGUUUGAGGCAAUAACAGGUCUGUGAUGCCCUUAGAUGUUCUGGGCCGCACGCGCGCUACACUGCUGGGCUCAGCGAGUUUUACUUGGCCGAGAGGCCCGGUUAAUCUUGUGAAAUCCCAGCGUGCUUGGGCUCGCCUCCUGCAACUGGAGGCGCCAACGAGGAAUUCCUAGUAGACGCAGGUCAUCAACCUGCAUCGAUUACGUCCCUGCCCUUUGUACACACCGCCCGUCGUUCCAUAAGAGUGAGGCAUCCGGUGAAUUCUCGGGAGAGCCUGGGCGUGGCCAGCAAUGGUCUGCUCGGGUUUGAACUUGCAUAAACUUGGUGCCUAUGAUUAGGG
rnacentral:rRNA from 1 species